CCUACGGGAGGCAGCAGUGGGGAAUCUUGCGCAAUGGGCGAAAGCCUGACGCAGCCAUGCCGCGUGAAUGAUGAAGGUCUUAGGAUUGUAAAAUUCUUUCACCGGGGACGAUAAUGACGGUACCCGGAGAAGAAGCCCCGGCUAACUUCGUGCCAGCAGCCGCGGUAAUACGAAGGGGGCUAGCGUUGCUCGGAAUUACUGGGCGUAAAGGGAGCGUAGGCGGAUAGUUUAGUCAGAGGUGAAAGCCCAGGGCUCAACCUUGGAAUUGCCUUUGAUACUGGCUAUCUUGAGUGUGGGAGAGGUAUGUGGAACUCCGAGUGUAGAGGUGAAAUUCGUAGAUAUUCGGAAGAACACCAGUGGCGAAGGCGACAUACUGGCCCAUUACUGACGCUGAGGCUCGAAAGCGUGGGGAGCAAACAGGAUUAGAUACCCUGGUAGUCCACGCUGUAAACGAUGAGUGCUAGUUGUCGGCAUGCAUGCAUGUCGGUGACGCAGCUAACGCAUUAAGCACUCCGCCUGGGGAGUACGGUCGCAAGAUUAAAACUCAAAUGAAUUGACGG
rnacentral:rRNA from 1 species